GAUCAACGCUGGCGGCGUGCCUAAUGCAUGCAAGUCGGACGGGGUGCGGUUCGCCGCACUCACGUGGCGGACGGGUGCGGAGCGCGUGGGCAACCUGCCCACUGGUGGGGGAUAGCCCUGGGAAACCGGGGGUAAGCCCGCCUACGCUCCCUGGACGGGUGGGUCUGGGGAGGAAAGCCCGUGAGGGCGCCAGUGGAGGGGCCUGCGGCCGAUUAGCUGGACGGUGGGGUGAUGGCCUACCGUGGCGAUGAUCGGUAGCUGGUCUGAGAGGACGGCC
rnacentral:rRNA from 1 species